rnacentral:piRNA from 3 species
UACAGCAAAUGGGACACAGUACUUGCCCUC